rnacentral:lncRNA from 1 species
GAGGCCGGCCUCGGACACGUAGCGGGUGCUGCCGCUGAUCAGGUUCAAGGAGUACAUGUGCAAGUUUUCAAGUUUUUUACCUGGUUAAUCACAAACAUCUAUAACUACCAAACACAGCUUCUGAACAGCAUUGAGUGUUUGUCAUUCUACCCUGAAAUAAUGUGAUUACAACAGAAGCAAGGCUCAACACCACAUGGAAGCUGCCGAUGCUUGGGGCUUCCACCCUCUGAAGCAACAGCCUGAGCUGUACCUUGGCCCCUUUUAGUCAAGGCUGGAGCAGCUGGGAUGAAGACUGGGACUGUAGGAUUUCGAGAAGAAGACCUCACCCAUAAAGUGUCAAUCUCAUCAUGUCAUACCAAGUGUAUAUAAUAUUAUCAGCAUGACCUAUCACUCUUGAUAUUGACCUGGAUCACUUGGCUGAGUCCUAGAAUCUGGAAUUUCCCCCAAGAAGCCCCGGGUCCUUUUAUUGGAGAAUAAUAUUAGAAAACAAGAUCGAGGCACCAGAUUUCUUCCAGAGCCAGUGUCACCAAAGUAUAUACUUAGAUGACAAACCAGGGGUUCCUGCCACAGUUUUGCCACUGUGCCUGCUCCUCAGCCACAUCAUUCCAUGUAGCCAUUUUAGCCAGGGCAUCAUUGACCAAGGUCUGACAAUUAUGAGAAGAAUAGAAGAUCCUGUGAAGCCAUUAUUAGCUCUUGACUCAAUGGCAACAGCCCUUUUUUCCAUUUGAACUAACGCAGUUGUAAAACCUUGGGCAAGUAGUUCAAUGUGCCUGGACCUCAGUUUCCCUCAACUAUGCAAUGCAAUUAAUAAAUCCUACCUCUCAAAAGCAGAUUGUUCUAAAUAUUUACUGAGAU